AUUGAACGCUGGCGGCAGGCCUAACACAUGCAAGUCGAGCGGAUGAAGGGAGCUUGCUCCUGGAUUCAGCGGCAGACGGGUGAGUAAUGCCUAGGAAUCUGCCUGGUAGUGGGGGAUAACGUCCGGAAACGGGCGCUAAUACCGCAUACGUCCUGAGGGAGAAAGUGGGGGGUCUUCGGACCUCACGCUAUCAGAUGAGCCUAGGUCGGAUUAGCUAGUUGGUGGGGUAAAGGCCUACCAAGGCGACGAUCCGUAACUGGUCUGAGAGGAUGAUCAGUCACACUGGAACUGAGACACGGUCCAGACUCCUACGGGAGGCAGCAGUGGGGAAUAUUGGACAAUGGGCGAAAGCCUGAUCCAGCCAUGCCGCGUGUGUGAAGAAGGUCUUCGGAUUGUAAAGCACUUUAAGUUGGGAGGAAGGGCAGUAAGUUAAUACCUUGCUGUUUUGACGUUACCAACAGAAUAAGCACCGGCUAACUUCGUG
rnacentral:rRNA from 1 species